GCCCGAGUGGCGGAAUCGGCAGACGCGACGGACUCAAAAUCCGUUCUUGGCAACAGGGUGGGGGUUCAAGUCCCUUCUCGGGCA
rnacentral:tRNA from 1 species